rnacentral:lncRNA from 1 species
GCUUUGUUUAGGAUGCGAAAUGGAAGGCAACCUCUUAGGAUAGGAACGUGCCUCCAUCGCUGGGGGUGCACCUAGUGCAUGAGAACCAAGCGCGGGCGUAGAGGAAGUUGUGGAGAUUGUCAAAGUUGCCUUUCUUUCAGGAAGGGUAGCUCGCCAGUGGCACGUGAUGGAAUCCAAGUAAAAUCGAUGAAAGUUUGGUUUUUCCAAAGAACGGGUCGUGUGUCUCCCGUGUUAGUGCUUACGUUAAUAAGAAGCCUAUAUACAAGUAUAGGACACUAGGAUGUAAAAUCCCUAGUUCAAAUUCACGAGAACCGGCGAUCUAUAGCACAUAGGAAGUGGUGACCCUUCAAGGAAUGUCUUCACCAGUAUUGGGGUGGGGAUCAGAUUCCAAUGAUCCUACGCACUACAGCCCUGUCGUGCCGUACAACAUAGAGGUCAGGCUUAGUGACUAGUGUCUAGCGACACUUU